rnacentral:rRNA from 1 species
AUCAUUACCGAGUGAGGGCCUCCGGGCUCGACCUCCAACCCCAUUGUUGUCCGACCACUGUUGCCUCGGGGGCGACCCGGCCUUCGGGCGGCGGGGCCCCCGGUGGACCAUUAAACUCUGCAUCUUUGACGUCUGAGUACAAAUUGAAUCAAUCAAAACUUUCAACAACGGAUCUCUUGGUUCUGGCAUCGAUGAAGAACGCAGCGAAAUGCGAUAAGUAAUGUGAAUUGCAGAAUUCAGUGAAUCAUCGAAUCUUUGAACGCACAUUGCGCCCCUUGGCAUUCCGAGGGGCAUGCCUGUUCGAGCGUCAUUUCACCACUCAAGCCUGGCUUGGUAUUGGGCGUCGCGUCCGCGCGCGCCUCAAAGUCUCCGGCUGGCCCUCAAUCGUGUCGCAGCGUCGUGAUUAGAUACCCGCUUCGAAUUCCACGUGAGUGCGCUCAUGGGCCGUUAAACACUUUCUACAGGUUGACCUCGGAUCAGG